UGCCUGGUUCUGGCUCACAGAAGGGAAUGUAACAUGUCUCUGGAUCCAGCACCUAGGUGGGAUUGUGACAUACCUAGGCCUAGCUCACAGGUGUGAUGAUGACUGUCAUAUGUGGACCCAACCAACAGAAAAGAUUUUGACUCUCAUGGCUAGAAUUAGGGGAAUAGCCAAUGGAUGAAAAAACUGAUGAAGAGAAGACACAUUUGGUUCUUACUUACACUUCACUUCCACUCACUAUUUGUCAGUGUGGAUAGAGCUGAGAACAGCAGUUUCCUGGCAGGACAGCCACUUGUCAGCAAUAAACAACACACUGAAAGAAAAGUACAAAUCUUUCAUCAAAAGCUAAUGGAUUUUUAAGCAAAAUAAGCAUAUGCAUCAAUAACAAAAUGCUUGUGGUAAAAUAAAGAUGAAUUUUGUUG
rnacentral:lncRNA from 1 species